rnacentral:lncRNA from 1 species
CCCAGCUGCGCGUUCCUGUUUCUGCACUUUCGUCCCUGGUUGAUAGUUGGCGCUGGGUCCUUGAUUGUCCUCCUGUAGAGUGGAUUUGGGGGGAUGGAGACUCCGCGCCUCACGGGAACUUCUGGAUCGUUUGUCUGGCCCCACUUGCAGCCGAACCGGAGAAAAGCCCCCGCGGCGGCCGUGGCAUGAGUGUCAUUCAAGGACGUGACUGUGGAUUUAACCCAGGAGUGGAAACACCUGGGCCCUGCUCAGAGUAUCCUGUACAGAGAUGUGAUACUGGAGAACUACAGCCACCUCCUCUCAGUGGAGUAUUGCUUUGGAAAACCAGAUGUGACCUUCAAUUUGGGGGAAGGAGAAGAUCCAUGGUUAUUAGAGGAAGAACGUCUAAAUAGGAACUACUCAGGUGAGUUACUGAGUACUAGAAGAAGGUAUCCAGGGAAAAGUAAAUCCAAAGUGAUCAGUUAUACGUAGGAAUUUUAAUUUUAAUUUUAUUUAUUUAUUGGCCAUGCCACAUGGCUUGCGAGAUCUUAGUUCCCCAACCAGGGAUCAAACCUGCACCCUUGGCAGUGAAAGCGUGGAGUCCUAACCCUGGACCACCAGGGAAUUCCCUAGGUGGGAAUUUUUAGAGACCUGUGUCUUUGGUAGUUUACAAAGAAUAGAUCCAGUACAAUGUGGAAAAUGAAGGUAUAACAUAACGAAUGCAGUACUAGCAUACUGAUUUUCUGAUCUUUAAAGGCUGGGAGUCCAAGUGUAUCAUUUACAACUGACAAACCAAGUUAUAGGAUUUUUAUUUAAUUGUAAAAUGAUAAACACUAAGAAAUAAUAGAAAAGGCACUAAAAUUGGGCAUUAAAUGAUGGUUAAGGAGAGAGAAGAAACACUGAUUUCAUCAUUGGUUCCAUAAUAUGGAAUUACUAGUUACUGUCUAAGUAAGUAGAAGAUUAAAAACUACACAAGUUUAUAAUUAUAAAAGUACCUACUAGAGCAAAAACACAGUCUUCCUAAUUUUUAGAAGAAAAAUUAACAGAGCCAUGAAAACAGAACUAUUAACUAAAAAGACUUAUUUUUUUUUUUUGC